GGCAGUUUUGUGUACUUGCACUGAUAUUGUGAUUUGUAAGAUUACGGAAAUUGCCAAUAAAAAAUAUGAAUAGAAACUCUCCUUUAAAAUACUUCAUUAUUUUAAAAUCUGUCCAUCCUAUUCACAUUU
rnacentral:snoRNA from 1 species